UACAGAGGUCCCGAGCGUUGUUCGGAUUCACUGGGCGUAAAGGGUGCGUAGGUAGCGAGGUAAGUCGGAUGUGAAAGCUCGGAGCUCAACUCCGAAAUGGCAUUGGAAACUACCUUGCUCGAGGGUUGGAGGGGGGGACUGGAAUACUUGGUGUAGCAGUGAAAUGCGUAGAUAUCAAGUGGAACACCAGUGGCGAAGGCGAGUCCCUGGACAACUCCUGACACUGAGGCACGAAAGCUAGGGGAGCAAACAGG
rnacentral:rRNA from 1 species